CACGAGCUAGCUCUCCUGAGGUGACUGUCGUCAGAUAAACACGAGCUAGCUCUCCAGAGGUGACUGUCGUCAGAUAAACACGAGCUAGCUCUCCAGAGGUGACUGUCGUCAGAUAAACACGAGCUAGCUCUCCAGAGGUGACUGUCGUCAG